CGCUAGCGGCAGGCCUAAUACAUGCAAGUCGAGGGGCAGCACAGGUAGCAAUACUGGGUGGCGACCGGCAAACGGGUGCGGAACACGUACGUAACCUUCCUUUAAGUGGGAGAUAGCCCGAAGAAAUUCGGAUUAAUACCCCAUAAGAUUGUGGAGUGGCAUCACUCAGCAAUUAAAGAAUUUCGCUUAAAGAUGGGCGUGCGGCUGAUUAGGUAGUUGGUGAGGUAACGGCUCACCAAGCCAACGAUCAGUAACUGGCGUGAGAGCGCGACCAGUCACACGGGCACUGAGACACGGGCCCGACUCCUACGGGAGGCAGCAGUAAGGAAUAUUGGUCAAUGGACGCAAGUCUGAACCAGCCAUGCCGCGUGAAGGAUGAAGGUCCUCUGGAUUGUAAACUUCUUUUAUAUGGGAAGAAACCACUUUUUUCUAAAGGUGUUGACGGUACCAUAGGAAUAAGCACCGGCUAACUCCGUGCCAGCAGCCGCGGUAAUACGGAGGGUGCAAGCGUUAUCCGGAUUCACUGGGUUUAAAGGGUGCGUAGGCGGAUUAGUAAGUCCGUGGUGAAAUCUCCGAGCUUAACUCGGAAACUGCCGUGGAUACUAUUAAUCUUGAAUACUGUGGAGGUUAGCGGAAUAUGUCAUGUAGCGGUGAAAUGCAUAGAUAUGACAUAGAACACCAAUUGCGAAGGCAGCUGGCUACACAGAGAUUGACGCUGAGGCACGAAAGCGUGGGGAUCAAACAGGAUUAGAUACCCUGGUAGUCCACGCCCUAAACGAUGAUUACUCGACAUUUGCGAUAUACAGUAAGUGUCUGAGCGAAAGCAUUAAGUAAUCCACCUGGGAAGUACGACCGCAA
rnacentral:rRNA from 1 species